rnacentral:rRNA from 1 species
CUACGGGCGGCUGCAGUGGGGAAUAUUGCACAAUGGGCGCAAGCCUGAUGCAGCCAUGCCGCGUGUAUGAAGAAGGCCUUCGGGUUGUAAAGUACUUUCAGCGGGGAGGAAGGGAGUAAAGUUAAUACCUUUGCUCAUUGACGUUACCCGCAGAAGAAGCACCGGCUAACUCCGUGCCAGCAGCCGCGGUAAUACGGAGGGUGCAAGCGGUAAUCGGAAUUACUGGGCGUAAAGCGCACGCAGGCGGUUUGUUAAGUCAGAUGUGAAAUCCCCGGGCUCAACCUGGGAACUGCAUCUGAUACUGGCAAGCUUGAGUCUCGUAGAGGGGGGUAGAAUUCCAGGUGUAGCGGUGAGAUGCGUAGAGAUCUGGAGGAAUACCGGUGGCGAAGGCGGCCCCCUGGACGAAGACUGACGCUCAGGUGCGAAAGCGUGGGGAGCAAACAGGAUUAGAUACCCGUGUAGUC